rnacentral:rRNA from 1 species
AUUGAACGCUGGCGGCAGGCUUAACACAUGCAAGUCGAGCGGAGAUGAGGUGCUUGCACCUUAUCUUAGCGGCGGACGGGUGAGUAAUGCUUAGGAAUCUGCCUAUUAGUGGGGGACAACAUUCCGAAAGGAAUGCUAAUACCGCAUACGUCCUACGGGAGAAAGCAGGGGAUCUUCGGACCUUGCGCUAAUAGAUGAGCCUAAGUCGGAUUAGCUAGUUGGUGGGUUAAAGGCCUACCAAGGCGACGAUCUGAAGCGGGUCUGAGAGGAUGAUCCGCCACACUGGGACUGAGACACGGCCCAGACUCCUACGGGAGGCAGCAGUGGGGAAUAUUGGACAAUGGGGGGAACCCUGAUCCAGCCAUGCCGCGUGUGUGAAGAAGGCCUUAUGGUUGUAAAGCACUUUAAGCGAGGAGGAGGCUACUGAGACUAAUACUCUUGGAUAGUGGACGUUACUCGCAGAAUAAGCACCGGCUAACUCCGUGCCAGCCGCCGCUGUAACAC